AAACCAACGGGGAUUACCUCAGUAACGGCGAGUGAAGCGGUAACAGCUCAAAUUUGAAAUCUGGGUCUUUCAGGCUCCGAGUUGUAAUUUGUAGAAGAUGCUUCGGGUGCGGCUCCGGUCUAAGUUCCUUGGAACAGGACGUCAUAGAGGGUGAGAAUCCCGUAUGUGAUCGGUUGCUUGCGCCCAUGUGAAGCUCUUUCGACGAGUCGAGUUGUUUGGGAAUGCAGCUCAAAAUGGGUGGUAAAUUUCAUCUAAAGCUAAAUAUUGGCCAGAGACCGAUAGCGCACAAGUAGAGUGAUCGAAAGAUGAAAAGCACUUUGGAAAGAGAGUUAAACAGUACGUGAAAUUGUUGAAAGGGAAGCGCUUGCAACCAGACUUGCGCGUUGCCGAUCAUCCGGGGUUCUCCCCGGUGCACUCGGCCUCGCUCAGGCCAGCAUCGGUUUUGGUGGUGGGAUAAAGGCCUUGGGAAUGUAGCUCCUUUCGGGGAGUGUUAUAGCCCUCGGUGCAAUGCCGCCUACCGGGACCGAGGACCGCGCUUCGGCUAGGAUGCUGGCGUAAUGGUUGUAAGCGAC
rnacentral:rRNA from 1 species